rnacentral:rRNA from 1 species
GCCGAACCACACAAACGUUAUUCGGAAUUACUGGGCUUAAAGGGUGCGUAGGCUGUGCGGAAAGUUGGGUGUGAAAGCCCCCGGCUCAACCGGGGAAUUGCGCCCAAAACUACCGUGCUUGAGGAAGACAGAGGUGAGCGGAACUUCGGGUGGAGCGGUGAAAUGCGUUGAUAUCCGAAGGAACACCGGUGGCGAAAGCGGCUCACUGGGUCUUUUCUGACGCUGAUGCACGAAAGCUAGGGGAGAAAACGGG